UACAGGGGGUGCAAACGUUGCUCGGAAUCAUUGGGCGUAAAGCGCACGUAGGCGGUUCGUUAUGUCGGAUGUGAAAGCCCUUGGCUUAACCGAGGAAGUGCAUCCGAAACUGGCGAGCUAGAGUACGAAAGAGGAUCGCGGAAUUCCAGGUGUAGCGGUGAAAUGCGUAGAUAUCUGGAGGAACACCGGUGGCGAAGGCGGCAUCCUGGACCGAUACUGACGCUGAGGAGCGAAAGCCAGGGGAGCAAACGGG
rnacentral:rRNA from 1 species